UGCGUAGGGUGCAAGCGUUAAUCGGAAUUACUGGGCGUAAAGCGUGCGCAGGCGGCUUUGCAAGACAGAUGUGAAAUCCCCGGGCUCAACCUGGGAACUGCAUUUGUGACUGCAUGGCUGGAGUGCGGCAGAGGGGGAUGGAAUUCCGCGUGUAGCAGUGAAAUGCGUAGAUAUGCGGAGGAACACCGAUGGCGAAGGCAAUCCCCUGGGCCUGCACUGACGCUCAUGCACGAAGGCGUGGGGAGCAAACAGG
rnacentral:rRNA from 1 species